rnacentral:rRNA from 1 species
UACGAAGGGGGCUAGCGUUGCUCGGAAUCACUGGGCGUAAAGGGUGCGUAGGCGGGUCUUUAAGUCAGGGGUGAAAUCCUGGAGCUCAACUCCAGAACUGCCUUUGAUACUGAGGAUCUUGAGUUCGGGAGAGGUGAGUGGAACUGCGAGUGUAGAGGUGAAAUUCGUAGAUAUUCGCAAGAACACCAGUGGCGAAGGCGGCUCACUGGCCCGAUACUGACACUGAGGAGCGAAAGCGUGGGGAGCGAACAGG